rnacentral:tRNA from 1 species
UUGAUUGAAGCCAACGAAAGGCAGAUCACUGUUAAUGAUAUAUAAGAAGUUAAAUUCCUCUCAAUCAAG